UACGAAGGGGGCUAGCGUUGCUCGGAAUCACUGGGCGUAAAGGGUGCGUAGGCGGGUUUUUAAGUCAGGGGUGAAAUCCUGGAGCUCAACUCCAGAACUGCCUUUGAUACUGAAGAUCUCGAGUCCGGGAGAGGUGAGUGGAACUGCGAGUGUAGAGGUGAAAUUCGUAGAUAUUCGCAAGAACACCAGUGGCGAAGGCGGCUCACUGGCCCGAUACUGACGCUGAGGCACGAAAGCGUGGGGAGCAAACAGG
rnacentral:rRNA from 1 species